GGGAGUUUGAGAUGAUCUGAGAACAGGGAAGACCUGACCUGCUUCAGAAUUGCAGUUGCAAGGGAAAGCAGCAGAUCUGUUUUAUUGAUUUGCUCAAUACAGAAGACGAGGCAAUGCAGCCACUAAGAAGAUCGAUGAGAAUAGCUGCUAAAGCGGCUGCCAGAUCAAAACAAGAGGCUUAACCGCAACUGGCAACAGCACCUAAGCUAAAAAGGCAGAAUCCAGCAGCUGACCAGUGAUGAAGAGGUGAAUGUAAAAGGGACCUGGAAGGAGGAAUGAAAAGGAGCAAGGCAUAAUGAGUUGAGUAUGAAAGGAGAAUGGGAGAAGGAAUUACAAGAGAUGGGUAAAAAUAUUUAUGAGAGGCAUGUGGAGGUUGGAAUGGA